rnacentral:sRNA from 1 species
UGCUUAACCCCAUCUGAAGGGGUCUCAGG